GAGGUUGGGCCCAGAUUGACAGUUCUUCGGCUUCUUGGGCUGGGCCUACUCUGACCGCUCCCGCCCCACCACCGAUUCUCUUCCUCCGCUCCGUUCCCCACCUCCGUUGGUGCGUCCACCGAGGCGGCCGGGUCGGUUCGCCUCCGCCGCGGUCGAUCAAUGAAUCCAUGCCGGCCUCGUGGCCUGGUUCCUUGCUCUCCUUAUUCUAGGAAUGUGCAACUGAGUGACUGCUGAGCUGUAGAUAAAUGUGAGGAGUUGAGGACAUUAUUUACAAACAAAUGGUAUGUAGUAUUCCAGAUCUGAAGAACUAGACGGAGCAUAUACAACAGAAGUGAUAGUAUAUGAAUAGUAAGGAUUUUCUCCAACAAAAAUUCUUCCAUAAUCUCUAGAUCUAUCACAUUAAGUUAUGUCACAUGUUUUGCUGAAAGCAAUAGUAACAGACUCAUAGUGUCCUUCUGGAAGAAUAUGUCCUGAAGUAAACUAAUGUAAAAGUCAACCUUUGUAAUUAAUUCGAGCUUAGUAGUGGUCUUGUAGUGACAGUACUUUAGUACUUUAUUCUCAUGACUUCUUGUGCUUACUAAGCUUUGGCAGUAAGCUUUUAAUUUGCAUCUUCCAGCAGAAGCUAUAUGUUAGAGUCAAUUUGUUCUAACUGUAAACCAUCAAAAUAACUCAUAACUGUAUCUGGUAAUACACAAACUAAAAAUUCUUGUUACUCUGUUUGAAAUAUCGUUAUUUACUGUAGUUGUUUCUGGUGUUAUAAUGUAAUAAAAAAGACAGAUCCAGUAUCAGUGGCUUCCACAUGCGUGAAGUUUAGGCGAAGGAAUAACCGAGGCAAGCUUUGCCCUGUAUCUUGCAGAGAGACUACACUGACUGAAUCUAGGACUUCUGGAUUAAUGGAAAGGCUUCUCACCACUUUGUUAGACUUGUCCUUCUCUGGUGUUAUACUGUCAUCUGAUAAAAUAAUUCAAUAGCAAGCUAAGCAACAGUAUACUUCAUACAUGGCAGAGCUCAACUUUGACUUCUCAGGGCUUAAAAUUGAAUUUAUAUGACAUAGCUUGUUUCAUUUCAGAUCAUCUGUUUUUCUUAAGUCAUCGCUUGUUUGAUUGGGUUUUCAGUUAGCAACAUCAUAGUUAGCAGCCCAAGAUUAAGAAUUGUAGUAUCUUCUGAAGAUUAAGACCUCAGUCAUUCUCCGAAAGUAUCAAUACUUGGAAGUAUGAAACUGUAGAUCAUGAACACAGUGUUUCGUCAAUGUUUUUUGAACAACUUAUGUUAUGUGCUUGAUUUUUAAAGGAGUCAGUUGACAACCAGUGUUCAUUUCUUUUCAGCUUUAAUAGUAAAUAACUGAUCAUUAGGUGCAAUUUUCUAUUCAAGCAACCAUGUUACAUGAUCAGUUGGUAUUUAUGGCACAUCAAUUUUGUUAGUUGCGAUGCUAGCAUUCUGAACUGUGUCAUCAUGGUUUGCUUUUAGAACUAUUAUACAUAGAUAAUAAUUGAUUUGGAGAACACUUCAAUUCCUGUAACAAACACGCAAGUUACGCUAGCAUGUCAUGUCAUGUGCUUAUUAAUUCAAAAACAAUAAUUGUGUGCAUGAACAAUAGAUCUGUACGGAUUGUUUCAAUCGUCAAAUCAUGAAGCAUCCGCUGCCGUGAUGGAAAUGCAUUGCAUUAUUCAUUUCCGAUUCUUUGACAUCAUACAUUCUAUACGUGUAUCCUUACUGUUUUUUAUUAAAAGUGGUGAUUAUAUAGAUCAAAAUAUAAGUAGUGCCGAUAUCAUCAUUUGUUGUCAGCUAACGGAUCAUUCCUUGUGCCUUCUAAAUAUGAUUGAAAUUGUCAAUAGCAAAAUGUUGAAUACCUAGCUAUUGAAAAUUUGCAUUGUCAAGGUUUCACGCAACAUAAAGAUGUGGUGCUAUUUUUUUUAGUUCUGUUCAUUUUUCAUAGCAAAGUUUGGAGUACUUUUAUUUUGUUCCCCUUUAUUCACCUUAAUCUAUGCAGAUUUAUUAUCUAUUUAUAUGCAGUAAUAACUAAAAACGACUGUGCUGCUAUGUUAUAAAAUGAUUCUUUGUACAAGUUAUUUAAUCUAUCAUCACAAUUUAUAUAAGGUAAUUUAUGGUCAUAUAGUCAUGUCUGUCAGAUACAGUAGUCAUUUCCUCUUUUGGCAUAUGAUAUUUGGUUCUUCAAUAGAGAACCAAUGAUAUGUAUACUUAUUAACCAGUCAUGGCUGCCGCUAGGCCGCUAGUACUUUGUUUACUUAGGAUUGAUUUUGAAGAAGAUUGGCAAUGCAAGUAAGCUUCCAACAGGUCUGAGCAUAUAAAAUGGACUUGAUGCAUCACUCUUUUUAGAAAGGUAAAACCUGAGCUCACCAAACACUUUCUAGCUCUGCCUUGAGGGAAGAAUAGCACCAUUGAAAGGACAAUGCAAACACCAAACAAAAAGGGCGAAGCGCAGCAAAGGGGCCGGAAAAGAAGUCCUCAACGAUUUUCUGUUAAUUGAAUGAUAUGGCAUCCUAGAGUUUGUUGAGAAACAUAGGUGCCAUUAUAUUUGUCUGAAGUCCCAAAGCUCUCAAUCUAUUAUGCCUACAAGGCUAGCUGCAUAUGCAUCAUUAGCCACUUACACUUCAAUUAUUCGUGACUAAGAAUUCAGGAAUCUUUUUCUUGAUUAUAUAGACUUCUGUACAAUCUGUCUCCCUUCUCUUAUUUACUUGGUUGAAAAGACCAAUAAUGGAUAAGAAUCUAUUAUUUGAGAGGUUAAGAUGUGAUCACAUAAGUCCCUGUAAUUGUUGCUCCUUGCUAACGUUCACUUAAUGAGAAAAAAUACUAAUAACAUAAAAUUUCUGCCACUUUACUUCACUCAUUGCUCAUUGAAGUAAAAAAUGUUGUGG
rnacentral:lncRNA from 1 species